rnacentral:piRNA from 2 species
UGAGAUCUCAUUUCAGAAGAACGGCAUGA